rnacentral:rRNA from 1 species
GACGAACGCUGGCGGCGUGCCUAAUACAUGCAAGUCGAACGCAGUGGGGACGGGUGAGUAACACGUGGGUAACCUCCCAUCAGACGGGAUAACACUUGGAAACAGGUGCUAAACCGCUACUGAUGGAUGGACCCGCGGUGCAUUAGCUAGAUGGUGGGGUAAAGGCUCACCAAGGCCACGAUGCCUAGCCGGGCUGAGAGGGUGAUCGGCCACACUGGAACUGAGACACGGCCCAGACUCCUACGGGAGGCAGCAGUAGGGAAUCUUCGGCAAUGGACGAAAGUCUGACCGAGCAACGCCGCGUGAGUGAAGAAGGUUUUCGGAUUGUAAAACUCUGUUGUUAGAGAAGCGGUAUCUAACCAGAAAGCCACGGCUAACUACGUGCCAGCAGCCGCGGUAAUUC